rnacentral:rRNA from 1 species
CCGGGGCGGGGUGCUUUACACAUGCAAGUCGAACGAUGACGGUGGUGCUUGCACCGCCUGAUUAGUGGCGAACGGGUGAGUAACACGUGAGUAACCUGCCCCCCACUUCGGGAUAACCUCGGGAAAUCGUGGCUAAUACCGGAUAUGAGCACUCAUCGCAUGGUGGGUGUUGGAAAGAUUUAUCGGUGGGGGAUGGACUCGCGGCCUAUCAGUUUGUUGGUGAGGUGAUGGCUCACCAAGACGAUGACGGGUAGCCGGCCUGAGAGGGCGACCGGCCACACUGGGACUGAGACACGGCCCAGACUCCUACGGGAGGCAGCAGUGGGGAAUAUUGCACAAUGGGCGAAAGCCUGAUGCAGCGACGCCGCGUGGGGGAUGACGGCCUUCGGGUUGUAAACCCCUUUCAGUAGGGAAGAAGCGAGAGUGACGGUACCUGCAGAAGAAGCGCCGGCUAACUACGUGCCAGCAGCCGCGGUAAUACGUAGGGCGCAAGCGUUGUCCGGAAUUAUUGGGCGUAAAGAGCUUGUAGGUGGCUUGUCGCGUCUGCCGUGAAAACCCGAGGCUCAACCUCGGGCGUGCGGUGGGUACGGGCAGGCUAGAGUGUGGUAGGGGAGACUGGAACUCCUGGUGUAGCGGUGAAAUGCGCAGAUAUCAGGAAGAACACCGAUGGCGAAGGCAGGUCUCUGGGCCAUUACUGACACUGAGAAGCGAAAGCAUGGGUAGCGAACAGGAUUAGAUACCCUGGUAGUCCAUGCCGUAAACGUUGGGCACUAGGUGUGGGGGACAUUCCACGUUUUCCGCGCCGUAGCUAACGCAUUAAGUGCCCCGCCUGGGGGAGUACGGCCGCAAGGCUAAAACUCAAAGGAAUUGACGGGGGCCCGCACAAGCGGCGGAGCAUGCUGAUUAAUUCGAUGCAACGCGAAGAACCUUACCAAGGCUUGACAUGCACU